GGAGGGAGCGACGCAGAGGCCUGCAGGCUGGGGGGCCUGGGGGGGCGCCGGAGGUCGACGGACGAGGAUCUGGAAACUGAACUGUGGAGAGCACACUGCAGAUUCUCUGUCAUUCUGGCAAGACACAAUACUAUAGGCUUUAAAAGAUCCACUUACAUCUGGCUGGAAAGGGGAUUUUACAGACGAUAAAAUGCAACCAAGAUGCAGUAGCAGAUAUUAUCCCAGUAGACCUUGCUAUCAACUUAACCAUCACUGCUGGGUGGUACACUGCAGUUCACAGUUAUUCUGCUUUGAUGUCCGUCAGCUGAUUUGGUCAGAAUACAUACAAUUUACUGCUUAGGAACUAAGACAUUUCUGCUGAAUGAAGACAUGGCUGGAAUUCCUGCAGCCAAACAGCAUAUC